GUGUCAGCCGCCGCGGUAAAACGUAGGAGGCAAGCGUUAUCCGGAUUUACUGGGCGUAAAGCGCGUGCAGGCGGUUUGGAAAGUUGGAUGUGAAAGCUCCCGGCUUAACUGGGAGAGGUCGUUCAAAACUUCCAGACUAGAGGAUGGUAGAGGGAGGUGGGAUUCCGGGGGCGGUGGUGGAAUGCGUAGCUAUCCGGAGGAACACCAGUGGCGAAAGCGGCCCCCUGGACCAUUUCUGA
rnacentral:rRNA from 1 species